rnacentral:misc_RNA from 1 species
GAUGAAGAACGUAGCGAAAUGCGAUAAGUAAUGUGAAUUGCAGAAUACAGUGAAUCAUCGAAUCUUUGAACGCACAUUGCGCCCGCCAGCAUUCUGGCGGGCAUGCCUGUUCGAGCGUCAUUUCAACCCUCGAGCCCCCCCGGGGGCCUCGGUGUUGGGGGACGGCACACCAGCCGCCCCCGAAAUGCAGUGGCGACCCCGCCGCAGCCUCCCCUGCGUAGUAGCACACACCUCGCACCGGAGCGCGGAGGCGGUCACGCCGUAAAACGCCCAACUUUCUUAGAGUUGACCUCGGAUCAGGUAGGAAUACCCGCUGAACUUAAGCAUAUCAAUAAGCGGAGGA